ACUCAGUUGGUAGAGUACAAAGCUCUUAACCUUAUGGACGUGGGUUCAAGCCCCAU
rfam:Triticum aestivum genome assembly, contig: Triticum_aestivum_CS42_TGACv1_scaffold_288164_4AL